UAGAGCUUGCCGCGUGUUUUAAACUGACUGACGAGUUGACUGCUUGAUGACGUGACUUCGAGAUUUCAAAUAAUCUGUUAGACUGCGACACCGAGGCAACUAUGUGAAAGCGCAAAAGCAUCGCCAGGAAGGCAGAGGACACGUCAAACCUGGUAUCGGAAGAUGAUGCUGUGUAGAAGCGAAAGAGACGUCUUCCCCAGAGAUUUAGCAAAUCUUCUAGUGAUUCCGGAAUUGACGCUGAUCUUGAAUCGGUUAGGACCAAAGAAAACAACAUGUACGCGGAGGAACGAUUAAGGCUGUGGCAGCAGAGAUACCAAUGCCGAAACUGAAUGCGAAGUCCAAGUCCACAUCACAUUUUUCAGUUCCAACCCACAACUCCAGCAAGGGCUCGGGCUUCGGAAAGCAAUUUUCAAGUGCAGGUACUGUGUACGCUGCAGAGGCUGGAGGAAGGGCAGCAGCAGCUGAAGCAGUUGGUACAAAAACUGCUUUUGUCCAAAUCGGGAGCGGCCGUUGGUGUGGAAGACCUGAGGGAGCCGUUUACCAAACCAGUGAACACCAAAUUUUCAUUCAAGGUAGAUUAAGAUACCUUCAUUCAGGGGCAAUGCAAAAAUCCUAAAACUCGUAUUGAAACCAAAUUUGACCAUUUCAGCUAAUAAUGGAGAAACUUUAUCAGCGACAUAACAGUUUUGUUGGUGCAUCUUUUUUAAUUGAAUUGCCAUCAUCUUGUUGAGAAUGCAAGACAAAGUUGUAUAGGUCUGUAAAUUUACUACUUUUUGUAAGGAUGCUGAAACCGAUGGCCCGAAUUCACAAAGGAGGUUUGAGCUCAAACCUUGGUUUUCGUACGUCAUAUGACGCGUUUUACGCGUUUUUUACAAACCUGGUUUGUAAAGAACAAAAGGAGGUUUGGCGAAACAAAAGGAGGUUUGAGCUCAAACCUUGGUCUGAGCUCAAACCUUGCUUUGUGAAUUCGGGCCAAUGUGUGUGCUGCCAAACUCUCUUAUAACCUUGUCUUCUAUAUUCAUAGACCCUUAAAUUUGAGUAUUUAUAUUUGCCUGUUAAUAAUUCAUAUCAACUCAAUUCUAUCAGUUUAUUGUAAAAAGCUUUUUGUAGAUUGUUCAUGUGUUUUGUGUUGAUUUUAUAUUUGAAGUAAGAUGCAAGGCUUCUGGGAAAUCUUAACCUGCCCACUAAAUCUUUGGUCGAUCAAAAGGACAAUUUUUUACUGGGAUUUAAAGGGGAAAUCUACCCUAGAAAUUUCACUGCUUCAAUCAAAGGAGACAAAUUUGAACAAAAUUAAAAAUAAGAAAUGGGCAAACUCGGUAAGGAAACUACUCUUUUUUUUAACAUUUUCUAGUAAAUUACUCCCGGCUAUUCAAAUUGACAAUGCUGAUGACAUCUUGAGUAGCUCUAAAUUCACUUUGUGCACAAAAUUUCACAUUUUCUAACCCCCAUAGUCAAAGCAUGUUGUGUAGAAAGCUACUCGUCAUUAGUAAUCUGAACAUACUCUGAUUAAAAGCUGUGGAAAUGUGUAACUUUAAGGAAAAUUUAGAAAAUAUGAAAUUUUGAGUACAAAGUUGAUGGAUAGCUACUCACAGUGGUGUCAUCAGUGUUGCCAAUUUGUAGAGCUGAAACGAGUGUAGUUUCCUUGUUUUUUUUGGCCGUACUUUCACUUGAAAUGUGACUUCUCAAAAUAGUCACAUUUUUAUCACUUGUAGAAGUUGAUGAGAAAGUAAAUACAUGUACUCUUUUGAAUAGUUAUAAUUUGCACCGGAUGAUGAAGCUAAUCCUGGGUGGAGGCACAUAGCUAAAUCGGUUAUUCACAUGUAUUUAAUGAUAAUUUGUGACAUUUUGUUAAAAGGUUCUGGUGAAUUUGAUAUAGUACACAAAAAAUUCAAUCCACUAUUUGGUUUUACCAAAGAUCAAGACUUAUUAUAGAAAGAUUUCUUAAUCAUUUGCUGGGGCAUCUUUUGGCAUGAAUUGCCAGGUUCUGUAAAUAACUCAAAUUGCUUUUAUAAAGUGUGUUACCAAAGUUGCUAUAUGUGUGCUGCCAAAUUAUUGACACUAUUCAAAGUAUUCAUUUUAUCUUGCCUUGUUUAUUCAUAGAGACAUAGACCCGUGAAUUAUAUGAGUAUUCAUAUUUGCCAGUUAAUGAGGCAUAUCUUCAACUCAUCUAUCAUUUUCUUAUGUUUUAUUUUUAGAUUGUUCAUGUGUUAUGUAUCUAUAGUUUUAAAGGGAUAGUUUAGUAUUGGUCAAACUUAACUUUAAAACCAAAACCUGCACCAUCACGGUGCAAAGUAAUAAUUACAAACGGCCAAGUAAAGCCCCUGUUAUUAUUCAAAAUGACCCGUUACUUUCAGUUUCUGCAUUUAAUGUUUGUUAAAAUAAUAAUUAAAUAAAUAUCUAUAUCAAUUGCUUUUUAAAGAA
rnacentral:lncRNA from 1 species